rnacentral:rRNA from 1 species
UGGGGAAUUGUUCGCAAUGGGCGCAAGCCUGACGACGCAACGCCGCGUGGAGGAUGAAGAUCUUCGGGUCGUAAACUCCUUUCGAUCGAGACGAACGGCCUCCGGGUGAAUAAUCCGGAGGAGUGACGGUACCGAGAGAAGAAGCCCCGGCUAACUCCGUGCCAGCAGCCGCGGUAAUACGGGGGGGGCAAGCGUUGUUCGGAAUUACUGGGCGUAAAGGGCUCGUAGGCGGCCAACUAAGUCAGACGUGAAAUCCCUCGGCUUAACCGGGGAACUGCGUCUGAUACUGGAUGGCUUGAGUUUGGGAGAGGGAUGCGGAAUUCCAGGUGUAGCGGUGAAAUGCGUAGAUAUCUGGAGGAACACCGGUGGCGAAGGCGGCAUCCUGGACCAACACUGACGCUGAGGAGCGAAAGCCAGGGGAGCAAACGGGAUUAGAUACCCCCGUAGUCC